CGGUGCUUGCUUGAUAAAGAAGGAUCCUUAAAACUGGCUGACUUGAUCUUUGGUGGCUUAAUUUCUGAAUAAUUAUCACCCGCGCUGGGAGUAUGGACCUGCUGGGUUUCAGAUAAAGAAACAGGAGUACUCUGCCUCUGGACGGAUGGGGGUUCAACCUCAUCUACAGGCAUCCUCAGGGAAUCUUUCAAAGGUGUGAGGCCUUUCUUGGAUCCCCUUGAUCUAAACCAUGAAGGGAUUAAGUAGAGGAACAUGCUAGCCAAUGCCUCGAGUGCUAACUUAGAAAGAUCAAUCAUGAGCUGUCCAAAAGAUGGCCACUUAGGUUCCUCUUUCAUGCUCUCUGUGAUAGGAGUUGGUUUCUCCAUACUUGGAUACUCUUUAAAUUCACUUUCCGAGUAUUGUUGCGUUCUUGAGAAGAAAGAAGGCGCAAAUCCUUGCUGAAGCAUACAUGUAACAUAUCCAGCGAGGACAGCACCAAUAACCAUAAGGAGAUCUGUUGCAGUAAUUGAACUGGACUCAUAAUCACAAUCUUCUUGGUUAAGAGAGAUUUGUCGAAGAGCAGCAUUUCCCC
rnacentral:misc_RNA from 1 species